UACGUAGGGUGCAAGCGUUAAUCGGAAUUACUGGGCGUAAAGCGUGCGCAGGCGGUGAUGUAAGACAGUUGUGAAAUCCCCGGGCUCAACCUGGGAACUGCAUCUGUGACUGCAUCGCUGGAGUGCGGCAGAGGGGGAUGGAAUUCCGCGUGUAGCAGUGAAAUGCGUAGAUAUGCGGAGGAACACCGAUGGCGAAGGCAAUCCCCUGGGCCUGCACUGACGCUCAUGCACGAAAGCGUGGGGAGCAAACAGGAUUAG
rnacentral:rRNA from 1 species